GUUCAAUCCCAUUUCUGAAGGUCUGAUGAAUAAUUAAUAUUGAUUUCCUCUUCCUUGUGGCAGGCUCAGCAGCACACUGCCCUCCAAAGCCUGCAAAAUAAUUGCCGGACUGCCCCUUUCCUAGCUCUGCAUGGAACAUCCAGUGUCACGUCCUUGGUGACGUGGGGGGUGACAUCCGGGAUGACCACAGCAACAUCCUCUGGAAAGUGAAAAAAAGAGGAACAGAAUGUAAGCAAAUGCAAACCGUAGCUUCAAAACACUGGCCAGUUGAAAGGUUCUACUAAGAUGUCAUGACAAACGGCACCUGUCAGAGUGCUCUCUAAGUGUUACUCACCUGCUUGGAUGUCAGCUGGCAGAGUGGCGAAGACGGCCAUCGUGAGAGUCCUUUCUUCAGGUGUGACGUCCACAACCUCCAAGAGGGAAGAGAUGGGCUCUGCCUCUGUAUUAGGGGUGAUGUCCACCACAUUCAGGUUGGAAGAAGCCGGAUCUGCCUCUGUGUUAGUGGUGAUGUCCACCACAUUCAGGUUGGAAGAAGCCGGGUCUGUGUUAUGGGUGACAACAACAAUCCUGAUGAGCUCUACUACUACAAGGCACCUAGAUGUCAUCGGAACAGGCAUCUGUCAGAGUGCUCUCUAUCAUUGCUACUCACCUGCUUGGAUGCCAGCUGGUAGUGUGGUGGAAACGGCCACCGCGAGGACAGGGGGGACUGGUAGGGUGGCUGCAGGGGGCUGGAAGCAGCUCUGCACCUCGUCCGCCACAAAGGCACAGACAGAGCUCAUAUAAAAAGGGCUCUGGAGGUCAUCGGUGGAGAAGGACUGACUGAUUCUCCC
ensembl:lncRNA